UCCGGCUUAUCACCGGCAGUUUCCUCAGAGUGCCCACCAUUACGUGCUGGCAACAGAGGACGAGGGUUGCGCUCGUUGCGGGACUUAACCCAACAUCUCACGACACGAGCUGACGACAGCCAUGCAGCACCUGUGUCCCCCCCACCCGAAGUGAAGGAUUCCUUUUCGGGAAUCCAUAGGGGGCAUGUCAAAUCCUGGUAAGGUUCUUCGCGUUGCCUCGAAUUAAACCACAUGUUCCACCGCUUGUGCGGGUCCCCGUCAAUUUCUUUGAGUUUUAAUCUUGCGACCGUACUCCCCAGGCGGGGUGCUUAAAGCGUUAGCUGCGCCACCGAAGAGCAAGCUCCCCGACGGCUAGCACCCAUAGUUUACGGCGUGGACUAC
rnacentral:misc_RNA from 1 species